rnacentral:rRNA from 1 species
GAUGAACGCGGCGGCGUGCUUAACACAUGCAAGUCGAACGAAGCUGCCCAAAGGAAGUUUUCGGAUGGAAUUUAGGUAGACUUAGUGGCGGACGGGUGAGUAACGCGUGGAUAACCUGCCUUAUACAGGGGGAUAACGGAGAGAAAUUUCCGCUAACACCGCAUAAGACCACAGCACCGCAUGGUGCAGGGGUAAAAUAUUUAUAGGUAUAAGAUGGAUCCGCGUCCGAUUAGCUAGUUGGUGAGGUAAAGGCCCACCAAGGCGACGAUCGGUAGCCGGCCUGAGAGGGUGAACGGCCACAUUGGGACUGAGACACGGCCCAAACUCCUACGGGAGGCAGCAGUGGGGAAUAUUGGACAAUGGGGGAAACCCUGAUCCAGCGACGCCGCGUGAGUGAAGAAGUAUUUCGGUAUGUAAAGCUCUAUCAGCAGGGAAGAAAAUGACG